GAGGGUAGCUCUGACUCUGCCCGAUGACACCAACCUGCCCUGUGACCUAUCGGCGACGAUAAGUAGCAGGGUGUUCCGUGUUGGAACCUCCACCCUUUAGGUGGAGAGAAGAUCAGUUAAAAUUCC
rnacentral:sRNA from 15 species